rnacentral:rRNA from 1 species
GAUGAACGCUGGCGGCGUGCCUAAUACAUGCAAGUCGAGCGAACAGAUGAGGAGCUCGCUCCUCUGACGUUAGCGGCGGACGGGUGAGUAACACGUGGAUAACCUACCUAUAAGACUGGGAUAACUUCGGGAAACCGGAGCUAAUACCGGAUAAUAUAUUGAACCGCAUGGUUCAAUAGUGAAAGACGGUUUUGCUGUCACUUAUAGAUGGAUCCGCGCCGCAUUAGCUAGUUGGUAAGGUAACGGCUUACCAAGGCAACGAUGCGUAGCCGACCUGAGAGGGUGAUCGGCCACACUGGAACUGAGACACGGUCCAGACUCCUACGGGAGGCAGCAGUAGGGAAUCUUCCGCAAUGGGCGAAAGCCUGACGGAGCAACGCCGCGUGAGUGAAGAAGGUCUUCGGAUCGUAAAACUCUGUUAUUAGGGAAGAACAAAUGUGUAAGUAACUAUGCACGUCUUGACGGUACCUAAUCAGAAAGCCACGGCUAACUACGUG